rnacentral:rRNA from 1 species
GACGAACGCUGGCGGCGUGCCUAAUACAUGCAAGUCGAGCGGACAGAAGGGAGCUUGCUCCCGGAAGUUAGCGGCGGACGGGUGAGUAACACGUGGGCAACCUACCCUGUAGAUCGGGAUAACAUCGAGAAAUCGGUGCUAAUACCGGAUAAUCAUUUGAAGUGCAUGCUUCGAAUGUAAAAGAUGGCUCCGGCUAUCACUACGGGAUUGGCCGGCGGCGCAUUAGCUAGUUGGUAAGGUAAUGGCUUACCAAGGCAACGAUGCGUAGCCGACCUGAGAGGGUGAUCGGCCACACUGGGACUGAGACACGGCCCAGACUCCUACGGGAGGCAGCAGUAGGGAAUCUUCCGCAAUGGACGAAAGUCUGACGGAGCAACGCCGCGUGAGUGAUGAAGGUUUUCGGGUCGUAAAGCUCUGUUGUUAGGGAAGAACAAGUGCCGUUUGAAUAAGGCGGCACCUUGACGGUACCUGACCAGAAAGCCACGGCUAACUACGUGCCAGCCGCCGCGGUAAAAC